GUGCUUGCUUCGGAAACACAUAUACUAAAAUUGGAACGAUACAGAGAUGAUUAGCAUGGCCCCUGCGCAAGCAUGACACGCAAAUUCGUGAAGCAUUCCAUAUUUUU
rnacentral:snRNA from 1 species